GACGGAGGGUGCAAGCGUUGUUCGGAUUGACUGGGCGUAAAGGGCGUGUAGGCGGUCGGCCAAGUCUGAUGUGAAAGCCCGAGGCUCAGCCUCGGAAGUGCGUCGGAAACUAGUCGGCUGGAGCGCGAUAGAGGAGGGUGGAAUUCCUGGUGUAGCGGUGAAAUGCGUAGAUAUCUGGAGGAACAUCAGUGGCGGAGGCGACACCCUGGACUCAUACUGACACUGAGGUGCGAAAGCGUGGGGAGCAAACAGG
rnacentral:rRNA from 1 species